rnacentral:rRNA from 1 species
AGUGAACGCUGGCGGCAGGCCUAACACAUGCAAGUCGAACGGCAGCACAGAGGAGCUUGCUCCUUGGGUGGCGAGCGGCGGACGGGUGAGGAAUGCGUCGGAAUCUGCCUUUUUGUGGGGGAUAACGUAGGGAAACUUACGCUAAUACCGCAUACGACCUACGGGUGAAAGUGGGGGACCGCAAGGCCUCACGCAGAAAGAUGAGCCGACGCCGGAUUAGCUAGUUGGCGGGGUAAAGGCCCACCAAGGCGACGAUCCGUAGCUGGUCUGAGAGGAUGAUCAGCCACACUGGGACUGAGACACGGCCCAGACUCCUACGGGAGGCAGCAGUGGGGAAUUUUGGACAAUGGGCGAAAGCCUGAUCCAGCAAUGCCGCGUGCAGGAUGAAGGCCUUCGGGUUGUAAACUGCUUUUGUACGGAGCGAAAAGCCCCGGGUUAAUACCCUGGGGUCAUGACGGUACCGUAAGAAUAAGCACCGGCUAACUACGUGCCAGCCGCCGCCGUAA